UCUAGAUUCUCUUGCUCUCUCUGCUGGCCAUGGCAUAUGCACUUAUCUGCAGUGGACAGCACUGUCCACUCUGUCCGCUAGGGUGAUUUGCCAUCAGAAACUGCAGCCAGCUGGAUGUGGGGUGGACAGGACGUACCUGUAUUCUAUGCAGUGACUGUUCAUGUGAUGGCAAGAUGACUGUUAUUUCCUGCUCAACCUUCUCAGACACAGUGUGUGGCUGCAAGGAUGGCUACAACAUUUCCUCAAUGGGUGAUUGCCAGAAAAAAGUGCCUACAGUUGAUUCAGUCAAUAUCGCAUUGGAUUCAACUCAUUCUCCAGUGGAGUCUGGAGUCCAUGAUAUUAAUAGCAAUGUAAGACUGCAUGCCUCUUAUCAAGUUUAGUUGCUAAUUGUUCAUGUUAAAUUGUGACUUGAAAUUUGGCUGUAUGGCGUAUUUGUGGGAAAGUGUGCCCCUUUUUGCCCAAUGAGCUCAUUUCUGGGAUAUAGGGAACACAUUAGAAUAAUAAACACAUUGUAAGGUACUAUGCCCUUAUUGAGACAGCUUACUAAGAGUCUGUUUCUUAUGCAUCCUGCUCUUUAUUAACUAUUUGUCACGAUCUAUCACAAGGAUGA